CAAGAAUGCAGUCGAACGGGAUAACAUCUGUAGCAAUACAGGUGUUAUUUAGUGGCGAACGGGUGCGUAACACGUGGGAAAUCUGCCGAGAAGUGGGGGAUAGCUCGCCGAAAGGCGAAUUAAUACCGCAUGUGAUCAGAGAGGACAUCCUCUCGAAAUCAAAGCCGGGGCAACCUGGCGCUUCUUGAUGAUCCCGCGGCCUAUCAGCUAGUUGGUGAGGUAAUGGCUCACCAAGGCUUUGACGGGUAGCUGGUCUGAGAGGACGACCAGCCACACUGGAACUGAGACACGGUCCAGACACCUACGGGUGGCAGCAGUCGAGAAUUUUUCACAAUGGGGGCAACCCUGAUGGAGCGACGCCGCGUGGAGGAUGAAUGCUUUCGGGUUGUAAACUCCUGUCAUUUGGGAACAAGGUGCAUCGAUUAACUGUCGAUGCAUUGAUAGUACCAGAAGAGGAAGGGACGGCUAACUCUGUGCCAGCAGCCGCGGUAAUACAGAGGUCUCAAGCGUUGUUCGGAUUCAUUGGGCGUAAAGGGUGCGUAGGUGGCGCCGUAAGUCAGAUGUGAAAUUUCGGAGCUUAACUCCGAAACUGCAUUUGAUACUGCGGUGCUUGAGGACUUGGAGAGGAGACUGGAAUUCACGGUGUAGCAGUGAAAUGCGUAGAUAUCGUGAGGAAGACCAGUGGCGAAGGCGGGUCUCUGGGACAGUUCCUG
rnacentral:rRNA from 1 species